UGUGAUCCUCGGCGAGGUCAUGCGCCGCGGCGCUGGAGGCGCCGAGCGCUUUGACGAUGCCGUUGGGGUCGAUGAUCAUGA
rnacentral:tRNA from 2 species